UACGUAGGCAGCAAGCGUUGUUCGGAAUUACUGGGCGUAAAGAGUGUGUAGGCGGUGCUCUAAGUUCGGUGUGAAAUCUCCCGGCUCAACUGGGAGGGUGCGCCGAAUACUGAAUGACUUCGAGUGCGGGAGAGGAAAGUGGAAUUCCUGGUGUAGCGGUGAAAUGCGUAGAUAUCAGGAGGAACACCGGUGGUGUAGACGGCUUUCUGGACCGUAACUGACGCUGAGACACGAAAGCGUGGGUAGCAAACAGG
rnacentral:rRNA from 1 species